rnacentral:tRNA from 1 species
UUCCUGCUGGCUCAGAUGGUAAAGAAUCUGCCUGCCGUGCAGGAGACCCAAGUUCUAUCCCUGGGUAGGGAA